AGUGGGUGUAACGUACCUACUAGCCGACGACGGGUACGGGUUGUGAGAGCAUGAGCCCGGAGAUGGAUUCUGAGACACGAAUCCAGGCCCUACGGGGUGCAGCAGGCGCGAAAACUUUACAAUGCGGGUCACCGCGAUAAGGGAACCUCGAGUGCCAGCAUACAAUGUUGGCUGUCCAGGUGCCUAAAAAGCAUCUGUUAGCAAGGGCCGGGCAAGACCGGUGCCAGCCGCCGCGGUAACACCGGCGGCUCGAGUGGUAACCGCUAUUAUUGGGUCUAAAGGGUCUGUAGCCGGCCGGAUAAGUCCCUUGGGAAAUCUGGCAGCUUAACUGUCAGGCUUUCAGGGGAUACUGUUCGGCUUGGGACCGGGAGAGGUGAGAGGUACCUCAGGGGUAGGGGUGAAAUCUUGUAAUCCUUGAGGGACCACCAGUGGCGAAGGCGUCUCACCAGAACGGAUCCGACGGCAAGGGACGAAAGCUAGGGGCACGAACCGGAUUAGAU
rnacentral:rRNA from 1 species